rnacentral:rRNA from 1 species
AUUGAACGCUGGCGGCAGGCCUAACACAUGCAAGUCGAACGGUAACAGGAAGCAGCUUGCUGCUUUGCUGACGAGUGGCGGACGGGUGAGUAAUGUCUGGGAAACUGCCUGAUGGAGGGGGAUAACUACUGGAAACGGUAGCUAAUACCGCAUAACGUCGCAAGACCAAAGAGGGGGACCUUAGGGCCUCUUGCCAUCGGAUGUGCCCAGAUGGGAUUAGCUAGUAGGUGGGGUAACGGCUCACCUAGGCGACGAUCCCUAGCUGGUCUGAGAGGAUGACCAGCCACACUGGAACUGAGACACGGUCCAGACUCCUACGGGUGGCAGCAGUGGGGAAUAUUGCACAAUGGGCGCAAGCCUGAUGCAGCCAUGCCGCGUGUAUGAAGAAGGCCUUCGGGUUGUAAAGUACUUUCAGCGGGGAGGAAGGGAGUAAAGUUAAUACCUUAGCUCAUUGACGUUACCCGCAGAAGAAGCACCGGCUAACUCCGUG